rnacentral:rRNA from 1 species
UACGGAGGACCCAAGCGUUAUCCGGAUUUAUUGGGUUUAAAGGGUGCGUAGGCGGAUUUAUAAGUCAGUGGUGAAAUCCUACAGCUUAACUGUAGAACUGCCAUUGAUACUGUAGAUCUUGAGUACGGUUGAGGUGGGCGGAAUGUGUCAUGUAGCGGUGAAAUGCUUAGAUAUGACACAGAACACCAAUUGCGAAGGCAGCUCGCUAAACCGUAACUGACGCUGAGGCACGAAAGCGUGGGGAGCGAACAGG